GCAGGAUCACGGUUAUUUUUUUUUAGAGAUGGUAGUGUUUCAUUUACUAAGGGUAGUGCGUGUUUAAGUAGUUUUUUGGGGAUAGGGUCUAGUAAGGCAAAUUGAUAAUUUAGAUGAGAUCAGGGAGGUCAAUGGGUGUGAAAGAUUCUAGGAGUGCAGCAGGUUGUGGGGGUGUCACAGAGGUAGUCAUGGUGAUUCAAGGAGUGCAGCAGGUUGUGGGGGUGUCACAGAGGUAGUCAUGGUGAUUCAAGGAGUGCAGCAGGUUGUGGGGGUGUCACAGAGGUAGUCAUGGUGAUUCUAGGAGUGCACCAGGUUGUGGGGGUGUCACAGAGGUAGUCAUGGUGAUUCUAGGAGUGCAGCAGGUUGUGGGGGUGUCACAGAGGUAGUCAUGGUGAUUCUAGGAGUGCAGCAGGUUGUGGGGGUGUUAAGAGGUAGUCAUGGUGCAUCCUGGAAGGGCUAUAGGGUCAUGGAGGGGGAGGAGUCUGAAUUUGUUCUCUUAUUGUUCAAAAUGUGUUAUUGAAAAAGCUCAUGAAAUUGUUUCUGCUACAGGCUAUAAACAGACUGUUCUAUUGUAUUGUGUUUUUUUGUUAGUCUAGACAUGGUCUUCAAGAGACACCUUGGGUUGUUUUUUAUUAUUUUCAAUCAAUGAAGAAUAGUAAGCUGAUUUCACAUCAGAAAGUGCUCUUUUAUAGCUUACAAGACAAGUUUGGUGGUGUACCAUUUUUUCUCUAGUUUCCGAGUCAUUUGUUUAAGUGCAUGAGUCUGGUCAGUGUACCAUGGAGCGAGUCUUUUUCUGUUCGCUUAUUCUCUUUUUCAGUGGUGCAACAGUGUCAAGGGUUGAGCGAAGCACACAUAUGAAACCAUUUGUUAGUAGGUCGUUAUGAGGUAGGGAUGUGCUUACGCCACUUUCAGUGUUUACAUGUC
ensembl:lncRNA